AUCUAAUAAAUGAAGGCGGUGAUUAAUUUUCUUUACCAUAACACAUAAAUAUAAUAGAAAAGACGUCAACACAUUUGACAAAAUCCGAUGAGAAUUACAAAUAUAACAUUAAACAUUUAAACUAAAUACAUGAAUUUGGGAUAGACAAGUACCGUACCACGUCUUAUAGUAAUGCGAGUUCACACUCGGCAAAACAGUCACAAUCGG
rnacentral:lncRNA from 1 species